rnacentral:rRNA from 1 species
GGGGAUAACAGUUAGAAAUGACUGCUAAUACCGCAUAAGCGCACGAGGGCCGCAUGGCCCGGUGUGAAAAACUCCGGUGGUAUGGGAUGGACCCGCGUCUGAUUAGUUUGUUGGCGGGGUAACGGCCCACCAAGGCGACGAUCAGUAGCCGACCUGAGAGGGUGGCCGGCCACAUUGGGACUGAGACACGGCCCAAACUCCUACGGGAGGCAGCAGUGGGGAAUAUUGCACAAUGGGGGAAACCCUGAUGCAGCAACGCUGCGUGAGUGAAGAAGUAUCUCGGUAUGUAAAGCUCUAUCAGCAGGGAAGAAUGAAGACGGUACCUGACUAAGAAGCCCCGGCUAACUACGUGCCAGCAGCCGCGGUAAUACGUAGGGGGCGAGCGUUAUCCGGAUUUACUGGGUGUAAAGGGAGCGAGACGGCAUAGCAAGUCUGAAGUGAAAGCCCGCGGCUCAACCGCGGAACCGCUUUGGAAACUGUUAGGCUGGAGUGCUGGAGAGGCAAGCGGAAUUCCUAGUGUAGCGGUGAAAUGCGUAGAUAUUAGGAGGAACACCAGUGGCGAAGGCGGCUUGCUGGACAGCGACUGACGUUGAGGCUCGAAAGCGUGGGGAGCAAACAGGAUUAGAUACCCUGGUAGUCCACGCGGUAAACGAUGAA